AAGUUGGAAUUGCUAGUAAUCGCGGGUCAGCCAUACCGCGGUGAAUACGUUCUCAAGUCUUGUACUCAC
rnacentral:rRNA from 1 species